UAGGGAAUCUUCGGCAAUGGGGGGAACCCUGACCGAGCAACGCCGCGUGAGUGAAGAAGGUUUUCGGAUCGUAAAGCUCUGUUGUUAAGGAAGAACGAGUGUGAGAAUGGAAAGUUCAUGCUGUGACGGUACUUAACCAGAAAGGGACGGCUAACUACGUGCCAGCAGCCGCGGUAAUACGUAGGUCCCGAGCGUUGUCCGGAUUUAUUGGGCGUAAAGCGAGCGCAGGCGGUUAGAAAAGUCUGAAGUGAAAGGCAGUGGCUCAACCAUUGUAGGCUUUGGAAACUGUUUAACUUGAGUGCAGAAGGGGAGAGUGGAAUUCCAUGUGUAGCGGUGAAAUGCGUAGAUAUAUGGAGGAACACCGGUGGCGAAAGCGGCUCUCUGGUCUGUAACUGACGCUGAGGCUCGAAAGCGUGGGAGCGAACAGG
rnacentral:rRNA from 1 species